GUGUCUAACCAGGAGUGCCCAUAGCCAGAUGUAUCAUCAUCUUACAGAGAAGAGCUGCAGAAACACAAAAAAUAUGAGACAGACAACGUUCACGAAUACAAAAGCUUUUGUAUGAAGUUCUUACUUGAAAAGUUGCCAACUGUUUAGAGUAGUCAGGAGGGAGACACAGAGGGAAAUAAGAGACAGAGUACAGAACAGCGUACAGCAAAGAAAGGGUGAGCCUUCCUUGCUUUUACUCCAUAGAGGGGAAAAACCAAGUCACAGGAUAUCUGAAACACAGGAAGGAGAUAGUGCAAAGGAAUGGGAGGAAGAGCUACAGCACCUACGUUUGGUUUUGUGCUUCACAAACCUGAGGGUUUUCUUCUUUUAUGCUUCUUUUAGGACCUGUGUUCCACUGGACUGCCCCCGAGAAGAAAUAUACAUCUUGGCACAUCAGUUCCAGAAGCUGUAAAAGUGUAAUGAAGUGAAAACAGUACUUGAGUAAAAACACAAAUUCCAGCCUUCUUUCCUCUCCAUUUCCACACCAGACCUAAAUUCCUUGCAAAGGACACACAGAUCUUAUCCUCUCGGGAAAAGAGCCCUGAAGACUGAAACGUUACACACCUUCCCCACUUGUCUGUACCAUCUUCCUUUCACUGCAUCAUCAGUGUCCUGCUGCCCUCCUCACCACUCCCUCCACAAACAUCAGUGUCUCCUUCUAUGAAGAAGCAAGUCUCCCUGCACACGACCUCUGAACAAGAAGAUGCUGCAAUCACAAGUUCCUAAGCCUGUAUUUUUAUAUAUAACCUGCCCGUGCUAGUUUUGACAGGCAAAAGAAACUAAACUGAAAACAAUACUGAAAACUUGGCCACACUCAAUGUGUAUAAUGUAGUGACUUGCAACAACUCUGUGUUACUCAAAUCUUAUUCCAGAAUAGUUACAGAAUGCAAAUGCCCCAGAGAAGUUCCCAGACUUUCCUCCCUCCUACAAAAUUAUGGAAAAUUUCUUGUAACAUAGGAAGGCAAGUGUACAGAAGACAAGUAUGAAAUCUGAAUAUAAACAAUGUAGGAUCUCCUGAGUAUUUUCUGAGUAGUUUCUGAACUUCCUAACAAGCUGUUAAUAAUGUAAAGAAUUUCAAACGAUGAACAAAGUGCAUGUUGCUUGCAAAAAGAAAAAGUGAUUUAUUAUUUAUAAGAAGAUCUAGCAAAUAAGUACUAGAUGCCAACUCCCUGCUAGCUCAGGCCAUACUGACAGGUUGCUGAGAGUACAUAUCAGUUUUAUCCCCCCGUUUGAUUUGGUUUGAUUUCAUUCAUCUUGGUUUGAUUUCAUUCAUAAUUGACAAAUUCAUUCAUAAUUGACAAAUCCAUUUGCUUUUUCUAUUUGCAAUAAAACACCGUGCAAACAAAAUUUGGGAAUACAUACAUACAGAAAAUCUUGUAUCAACAUGGACUGGCUGCCAGAUUUGGAACUGAUUCACUCAUUAGUUUGAGAGUGAUUAAUUUAAAUCCCUGAUUUAAAAACAGAUCUAUGAAAAGAGAACUGGCAGUAUAAACAGCACUGCAGACAGCUAGAAUUGUUCCUUCUGCAGACUCUGUUCCUGUAAAGUACAAUGGUGCAAUAUAAAAUAAGGUGAUGAUGUCGAGGUGAUAAAUUUCUUAGCCCUUCUUGCAAUGAAAAAUGAUGCUUGUUAACAUCUUGUCUGAGGAAAAAGUGACUAAAUCCCAGUGUUUUAACUCAGAGGAACAGGAAGAGAUGGACAAAUAGGAUACAACAGGUAUAUUUUUUACAUACCUACAUUUGGAAGCUCAGCAUGCUGCAUGUACACUAUUUGUAGUCAGGACACAGCAAGCUAGAUUGCACUUUGGGUUCAGAAAAUAAAAGAACUCCCUGUGGGGAAUUCAGUGGUUUGUGGGUUCAAGUGUAUCUUGACUAGAGGCUUCUCCCAGCAUUGUAAUGUCACACCUGGCAUUUGCCCUCUCCAUACACCUCUGGCCAAUAUGCAUGAGAAACCUGUAGGAAACCCUGCCAUGGCUUCCCAGGCCAGCUGCCCUGAUUGCUUUGCAGCUCUCCAGGAACAGUACAGGAGGGAGCCUACAUAACGAACACACUAAUAACAAAAUAUUG
ensembl:lncRNA